rnacentral:tRNA from 1 species
CGGGGUAUAGCUCAGCAGUAGAGCACAUGCUUAGCAUGCACGAGGUCCUGGGUUCAAUCCCCAGUGCCUCCA